CCCCGAACGUCAGCUGGAGAUCGAGGGUUUGCUGAAGGAGCUGGAGAGGCUGCAGGCUCAGCUGGACGACCUGUCUGCAUGGGCCGCCAGCACCAGAGGCAAACUGGAGCAGAGCCCAGAGGAGCCUCCCCAACGGGUAACCACAACCGCCAACCAACUAUAACCAACUAACCACCACUACAGCCUGCUUCAGCGUUUAAUAUACACACUCCAGUUCCUCUUGAAAUUAGCGAUUCACCAAGCAUUUUUUUUGUGUUGUUUGUGUGCCCUUAAGUUGAUGGAGGAAGUGCAAGCCCGGAAGCCUGACGUGGAGUUUGUUUUGGAAAGAGGCGAGCAGCUCUUUAAGGAUAUCCCUCCCGGCCGGGCCGACAAGGUGAAGUUUGACAAGCUGAAAGAAGACUGGCUGAUCAUAAUGGAGCUCCUACGGCAGCAUAAAGAGAGAAAGGACCUUCUUGCAUCCAAAAAAUCAGUACGUUUACAUGACUUAAUCCUGCCCUUAAAAAUGAAAUAAAA
rnacentral:lncRNA from 1 species